ensembl:lncRNA
CCAGGCGGGGAGUGUCAUGUUCUGUAAGAAUACUUUGCAUUUAGUUUGUUACUUUCUCCCCCUAGUGGUCAUCUAGGAGUAAUUCAUUGAGUUCAUAUAUAAUUCUUACAUUGCUUUCAUUGGUUGAUUUUAUCACAUGAUGCAGUCUGAUCAGGAAAUACAUCAGUAGUUAUAUUCCAUGCAGUCCACUUGCAGCUCUAGUCAUCUUAUCCUGUCUUAAUUUUGUGUUUGUGCCUUGGGAAAGCAUCGCUUGAAAUAACAGGUGAUGGUCAUCAGCCAACACAUGCUCUGUCUUGAUCUUGCAACUCUGACAUCUUGAGUGUCAUGCAUCAUGUACAUUUCACAUCUUUGGAUAUUUUUUGGUGCUUUGGUGUCUUCAAAUGGUAGGGUCAAAAUAGCAAUAUUUAUAGUCAAUUAUAAUAUAGUUUAUUUGAUAUUGGGGACAAAAUAAACAUAAUUUUGACUAUAUUAUUAUUUAUAAUAGUUUUAAUAAAAGAAUGCAAAAUAAUAAUAUAAUAUUGCCUCUGUGUUAGCAAUUCUGAUGUAUUUAUUACAUUGUUGUGUUUAAAGCUAACCAACUACAUUUCUUUAACAUUACGUAUGUAAUAUUUGGAGUAAAUGAAUGAAUCAUGUAUUUUUUUAUGCCUGUCAAUUUAAGCUCUGGACGACUGGAAUACAAGAUGUAUCAAUUUCACCAUCAACGCCUCUCUGAAAUCUGAAGUCUAUCUCCCAUGUCACUUUAAUAUAAACCAUUACAAUGGAACAUUGGCAGUGAAUUGGAGAUGCCAUUCCACUAUUGACAGUCUUGUAACGAUCAUGACUGAUGGCAAAAUCAUCUUUGGUAGUCCUAGUGAAGGACGAGUGAAUGUUUUUCCCCUUCUGUCUAAACAUGGAAACUUCUCUAUCCUCAUCCAUGAUCUGCAGUCUUCAGACAUUGCCACCUACAUUUGUGAGCUGAACAGUGAAUGCUGGAGGGUGCAAAUCAUUGAACGUCCGUACAGAAUCAGUGAGUCAAACUCCUGGCUCUACUUUGCAGCUGGAGCUGGAUUGUUUAUUCUCCUUUUUAUUGCAUUUAGCCUGUUAUCAAAAUUCUGUGGAAAGUGUGUAGAUACAUCAUCCAAAUCGAAUCCAGUUAAUGGAGUACGGAGUGAAGGUAGUAAUUCCCCCGAAGAAACACAGAAUACAGAAAGCAGUGAGCAUAGAAACAAAAACAAGAGGGGUGUGAGGAGGGGCCCUACAACUGUUUAUGAAAAUGACAUACAUGCUCCAAAUCAAAGUUCUGCUGUGCAGCCGGGGCAACAUCCUCAAAGAGCCUUUAGAGCCGUUCCCGAGCCAACAAGAAGUCAUCCUUCGGAUGCAAAACCAUACUACGUCAACCAGGCGGAGCUCUUCAUUCCAGUAAAUGCUGGCAAAAAACGGAAAAAACUAAAACAAAAUGUGUAUAAAAAUCCAAUAUAUGGAGACUGAAGUGAGACAGUGACAGCAGAAUAAUACAUGUUUCAAUCAGCAUAACAAAAUUGUUCAUUAUAAACAGUUCAAUAUCUCAAUAAAUUCUGAUGUUUAAUGAUUCA